AUAUUUUUGGUACUUGAUGAUAAAAAAAAAAAAAAUCUGUUCUUAUCAGUUUAAUUGCUGAUACGUCCUCAAUUUAUGAGGACUGACACAUUAAACGCAUUUUUGGUGCUGGGAGCGGGCCUCAGAGCUUGCUCCAGCGCCUCCGCUCAUCGGCCCGGUAUUGCAGUGCCUCGGGGCCCGGUGCCCGCUCC